GUGAUAAGAGUGAGUCAGGGCUAGCCAAGGAGACUGCCUGUGAGACCGCGACCACACCCCAACAACCCAAGGCGCGCGGCUAAUCGAUCGAUCAUCGUCUCGCUCUCUGCCAGAGGUGACGACGACGACGACGAUCGAUCGACACGCACGCACGAUGAUCGAUCCUUGAGAGGGCCGGGAGAUCGAUCGAGGCCGGCACACAGGCAAGUCAUCCUUGGCUACCAGAGCUACCAACCACUCUGAUCG
rnacentral:pre_miRNA from 2 species